rnacentral:rRNA from 1 species
CACGUAGGGUGCGAGCGUUGUCCGGAAUUAUUGGGCGUAAAGAGCUCGUAGGCGGUGUGUCGCGUCGGCCGUGAAAACCUGCAGCUUAACUGUGGGCUUGCGGUCGAUACGGGCAUCACUGGAGUUCGGCAGGGGAGACUGGAAUUCCUGGUGUAGCGGUGAAAUGCGCAGAUAUCAGGAGGAACACCGGUUGCGAAGGCGGCUCUUUGGUCCGCUACUGACACUAAAGCGCGAAAGCGUGGGGAGCAAACAGG